rnacentral:rRNA from 1 species
UACGUAGGGUCCGAGCGUUGUCCGGAAUUACUGGGCGUAAAGAGCUCGUAGGUGGUUUGUCGCGUUGUUCGUGAAAACUCACAGCUUAACUGUGGGCGUGCGGGCGAUACGGGCAGACUUGAGUACUGCAGGGGAGACUGGAAUUCCUGGUGUAGCGGUGGAAUGCGCAGAUAUCAGGAGGAACACCGGUGGCGAAGGCGGGUCUCUGGGCAGUAACUGACGCUGAGGAGCGGAAGCGUGGGGAGCGAACAGG